UGGACUGCUCACGGGAGUUCUGCAGGAGACGCCGGAAUAUCUGGAAGCUGAAAAAUGCUUGUGCCCUCGGUCUCUUGCCUUGGCACCCGGGUGGCUUGCUGCCCACAACCCUGUGUCUAAAAAUAUGAAAAUUAGCUGUGCAUGGUGGUGGGUACCAGUAAUCCCAGCUACUCCGGAGGCUGAAGCAGGAAGAUCGCUUGAACCUGGGAGAUGAAGGUUGCAGUGUUAUGAAACACCUUGGCCGAGGGAAACAACCCCAAGCAGCCUGGAGAAAUAAAUGGAAAGACCAGAAUAUUGAAGAUCACUACAGAACUCUAAG
rnacentral:antisense_RNA from 1 species